rnacentral:rRNA from 1 species
AGCGGAGGAAAAGAAACCAACAGGGAUUACCUCAGUAACGGCGAGUGAAGCGGUAACAGCUCAAAUUUGAAAGCUAGCUCUUUGAGGGUUCGCAUUGUAAUUUGUAGAAGAUGCUUCGGGUGUGGCCCCGGUCUAAGUUCCUUGGAACAGGACGUCAUAGAGGGUGAGAAUCCCGUAUGUGACUGGGUGCUUUCGCUCAUGUGAAGCUCUUUCGACGAGUCGAGUUGUUUGGGAAUGCAGCUCUAAAUGGGUGGUACAUUUCAUCUAAAGCUAAAUAUUGGCCAGAGACCGAUAGCGCACAAGUAGAGUGAUCGAAAGAUGAAAAGCACUUUGGAAAGAGAGUUAAACAGUACGUGAAAUUGUUGAAAGGGAAGCGCUUGCAACCAGACUUGCGCGCUGAUGAUCAUCCGGGCUUCUGCCCGGUGCACUCGUCUGCGCUCAGGCCAGCAUCGGUUUCGGUGGUGGGAUAAAGGCCUUGGGAAUGUAGCUCCUCUCGGGGAGUGUUAUAGCCCUCGGUGCAAUGCCGCCUACCGGGACCGAGGACCGCGCUUCGGCUAGGAUGCUGGCGUAAUGGUUGUAAGCGACCCGUCUUGAAACACGGACCAAGGAGUCUAACAUCUAUGCGAGUGUUUGGGUGUCAAACCCAUACGCGUAAUGAAAGUGAACGGAGGUGAGAACCCUUAAGGGUGCAUCAUCGACCGGUCCUGAUGUCUUCGGAUGGAUCUGAGUAAGAGCAUAGCUGUUGGGACCCGAAAGAUGGUGAACUAUGCGUGAAUAGGGUGAAGCCAGAGGAAACUCUGGUGGAGGCUCGCAGCGGUUCUGACGUGCAAAUCGAUCGUCAAAUUUGCGUAUAGGGGCGAAAGACUAAUCGAACCAUCUAGUAGCUGGUUCCUG